UCAUUCGGAUUCGCCAUCAUACGUCCAACCGUGCAUUUGAUAUGCAUAUAUAUGCAUCACGAGCCACGGUUGGGCUAUAUGAUGGCGAUACCGAUUGG
rfam:Triticum urartu cultivar G1812 contig278694, whole genome shotgun sequence.